rnacentral:rRNA from 1 species
GAUGAACGCUGGCGGCGUGCCUAAUACAUGCCAGUCGAGCGAACAGACGAGGAGCUUGCUCCUCUGACGUUAGCGGCGGACGGGUGAGUAACACGUGGAUAACCUACCUAUAAGACUGGGAUAACUUCGGGAAACCGGAGCUAAUACCGGAUAAUAUAUUGAACCGCAUGGUUCAAUAGUGAAAGACGGUUUUGCUGUCACUUAUAGAUGGAUCCGCGCCGCAUUAGCUAGUUGGUAAGGUAACGGCUUGCCAAGGCGACGAUGCGUAGCCGACCUGAGAGGGUGAUCGGCCACACUGGAACUGAGACACGGUCCAGACUCCUACGGGAGGCAGCAGUAGGGAAUCUUCCGCAAUGGGCGAAAGCCUGACGGAGCAACGCCGCGUGAGUGAUGAAGGUCUUCGGAUCGUAAAACUCUGUUAUUAGGGAAGAACAAAUGUGUAAGUAACUAUGCACGUCUUGACGGUACCUAAUCAGAAAGCCACGGCUAACUACGUG